rnacentral:rRNA from 1 species
GCAGUGGGGAAUAUUGCACAAUGGACGGAAGUCUGAUGCAGCGACGCCGCGUGAGGGAUGAAGGCCUUCGGGUUGUAAACCUUUUUCGCUUUUGACCAAGGCAGCAUUUUGGUGUUGUUGAGGGUAUGAGGUAAAGAAGCUCCGGCUAACUACGUGCCAGCAGCCGCGGUAAUACGUAGGGAGCGAGCGUUGUCCGGAUUUAUUGGGCGUAAAGGGCUUGUAGGUGGCUUGUCGCGUCUGCCGUGAAAUUCCGCAGCUUAACUGUGGUAGUGCGGUGGGUACGGGCAGGCUUGAGUGUGGUAGGGGAGACUGGAAUUCCUGGUGUAGCGGUGGAAUGCGCAGAUAUCAGGAGGAACACCGGUGGCGAAGGCGGGUCUCUGGGCCAUUACUGACGCUGAGGAGCGAAAGCGUGGGGAGCGAACAGGAUUAGAUACCCUGGUAGUCCACGCUGUAAACGUUGGGAACUAGGUGUGGGGCCUGUCAUGGGUUCUGCGCCGGCGCUAACGCAUUAAGUUCCCCGCCUGGGGAGUACGGCCGCAAGGCUAAAACUCAAAGGAAUUGACGGGGGCCCGCAUAAGCGGCGGAGCAUGCGGAUUAAUUCGAGGCAACGCGAAGAACCUUACCAAGGCUUGACAUACACCGGAAGCUGCCAGAGAUGGUGGUCUCUUUGAUACUGGUGUACAGGUGGUGUAUGGUUGUCGUCAGCUCGUGUCGUGAGAUGUUGGGUUAAGUCCCGCAACGAGCGCAACCCUUGUCCUAUGUUGCCAGCACGUUAUGGUGGGGACUCAUGGGAGACUGCCGGGGUUAACUCGGAGGAAGGUGGGGAUGACGUCAAAUCAUCAUGCCCCUUAUGUCUUGGGCUUCACGCAUGCUACAAUGGCCGGUACAGAGGGAAGCGAUAUCGUGAGGUGGAGCGGAUCCCUUAAAGCCGGUCUCAGUUCGGAUCAAAGUCUGCAACUCGACUUCGUGAAGGUGGAGUCGCUAGUAAUCGCAGAUCAGCAACGCUGCGGUGAAUACGUUCUCGGGCCUUGUACACACCGCCCGUCACGUCAUGAAAGUUGGUAACACCCGAAGCGCGUGGCCUAACCUUUUUGGGGGGAGCGUGCGAAGGUGGGAUUGGCGAUUGGGACGAAGUCGGAACAAGGUAGCCGUACCGGGAGGUGUGGCUG